GCGAAACUAACGGUUGCCGGAGUGAGGAUAGAGGAGAAGGAAGAGGAACCGAAAAGAGAUAGAGGCUCCAUCCAGUUGACCUUACUUAUCAUAGAUGGAGCAGGGGAAACAGGGAGUGGUAGUUAAAUUCACUCCUCCUCAGAACCCUGUGGAGCAAAUUCAGGCUCGUUUCAAGGAACUAGAAAAUGGGUUCAGAACGUGGUUGGCCAAGCAGUCUCUCCCUGUUGAGGCCGCCGUUGUCACCGUCACCAGCGCUGCGCAGGGCGCUGCUAUUGGUGGUUUUAUGGGCACUCUCACCAACGAUGUUUCUUCUUCUCUGCCCACUCCUCAAGCCGGCCUCAACCCUCAAGCCAUGGCUUCUUUCAAGCAGGCCCAGGCUCUUGCUGGAGGUCCCUUAGUACAAGCUCGCAACUUUGCCGUCAUGACAGGUGUUAAUGCUGGCAUAUCUUCUGUUAUGAAGAGAUUGAGAGGCAAGGAGGAUGUCCAGUCAAGCAUGGUGGCUGCUUUUGGGUCUGGGGCUAUGUUUUCAUUGGUGAGUGGAAUGGGAGGUCCAAAUCAGGCAGCAAACGCUGUUACCUCUGGUCUUUUUUUUGCCCUCGUUCAAGGUGGACUUUUCAAGUUAGGGGAAAAAUUUU
rnacentral:misc_RNA from 1 species